CAUUAAAGCGGUACGCGAGCUGGGUUUAGAACGUCGUGAGACAGUUCGGUCCCUAUCCGGUGUAGCCGUAGGAAACCUGAGGAAGGCUGUCCCUAGUACGAGAGGACCGGGACGGACGCAGCUCUCGUGUGCCAGUUGUCCUGCCAAGGGCACGGCUGGUUGGCGACCUGCGGAAGGGAUAAGCGCUGAAAGCAUCUAAGUGCGAAGCUCGUUCCAAGAUGAGGUUUCCCACUGGGUCAACCAGGUAAGGCCCGUGGUAGACGACCACGUUGAUAGGCCGGAGGUGUAAGCACAGCAAUGUGUUCAGCCGACCGGUACUAAUCGGCCGAGGGCUUGGAUCAG
rnacentral:rRNA from 1 species